rnacentral:snRNA from 1 species
AUCGCUUCUCGGCCUUUUGGCUAAGAUCAAGUGUAUUUUAAAUCAGAUUGUUUGAAUUUUGUUACUGAGUUGUAUGAGUGCAUAUCUUGCAUAUAUUUGAACAUUAACCCCUUUUCAAUGAUAAAAUGAUAUUAUG